GGACAGACAUCCUGUCAUGUCCAUCAUAGAGACACUUGAAGCCAAUCAUAAUGCAGCAUUCUCCUGGACAAUGGGAUCACUUCAUAAUCCUAAGUGACCCAACUUAAUACAGAACACUAACCAUAUUUCAAAUGACAUGAAUGUAGGAGAGGAGAAGAAUUCAGACUAAAAAUUGAGACUGAAUUGGGAUUGAAACUUUCCGACUCUGAUCCUCAGACUUGAGCUGGACUCCCAGCUGAAGACCAGAAACCUGACUUGGACCUGAGCAUCAGUCUCCACCCCACAGGCCCCGCCAAAGACAGGGAACAGUUCUGGAAAACAUGGUGGAGGUUUCUGCCGCAAUGCUGGAGAACAACGUCUGCUGCAAAUGCAGGUGUGAAGCUCCAGCUACGAGGAGGAGGAGGAGGACACUUAAGAUGUUCAGUCGAUGAAAACAGUUGAUAAAAAGCCAAGAAAUCUCACCAGAAACGACGUGGCCAUGUUUCCUGAUUACUUACUGUUAAUGGAAGAUCUAAUUAAUCUUUGUUUGUACAGCCUUUUAAAUACAAAUUGAAGGUCAAAGAACAGAUCUUAGUGAAUAAAGACAGAAAAUGCAGUUUC